CCUCCUUAGAAGGAUACUCCUUGCCAAGGUUGACCAUGGGUUGGGCUGUGAUUUUCUUAGCACUCUUCAUUUACUGCACAGGUAUUGACUGUCAAGAAAGUUGGAUCCAGCCUCCCUCCAGCUCCGUGUCCCCAGGUGGAACCAUUGCGAUCUCCUGCAUAACCCAGGUUUCUAAUACCAUUUACUGGUAUCAACAGAAACCAGGGAAAUCGCCUCGUUUUGUCCACUGUGACGGCUGCAACAGGGGAGAAGGGAUCCCAAAUCGGUUCACUGCCACCAGAUCUGGGACUACAGGAUCUUUAAGCAUCACCAAUGCACAGGCUGAAGAUGAGGCUGAUUAUUACUGUGGUAGAUGGAAAAGUGGAGGUACUGUGUUGCACAGUGGUGAAUUCUUAUGGGGAAGUGUGACAAAAACCUCCUCUCUGCCCCUUCAACCUGAAACAAGAAGCAACAUACUUUGA